GUGACGAGAACGUAUUUUUUUCUUCGUGUAGCCAAGUUAAAGACAAGUCAAAUUCAUGUCGUCCGUGUGAUAUCUUACACUGGAACCAAGAUGGCUUGUCACUUGAAAAAGGCGCCAUCCAUCAAGCCGCAUUCCGGUCGAAGAGAUUACGGAUCUCUAGCAAGCUCAGAAAUCCACAAAAUCACAGACACAGUGGAAAAUAAUGAAAAUGAGUUCUUGCAAAGAAAUAAGUGUAAUCUCAUUGAAGAACUCAUGAAGAUACCAGACGAGGUUUUAAAUGAAGUAGAGUCAUUGAAUAUAAUAACAAAGCGCGAAUACAGAG